rnacentral:ribozyme from 1 species
CGCAAUUGAAGGAGGAGAGGGAGGGGAAGGAGGAAAGGUACCUAGUGGACUUUCAUUUGAUUGUUCACAAAGAGAAGGAUUUGAGCAUAUCAGAAAUA